GACGAACGCUGGCGGCGUGCCUAAUACAUGCAAGUCGAACGCUGAAGGAGGAGCUUGCUUCUCUGGAUGAGUUGCGAACGGGUGAGUAACGCGUAGGUAACCUGCCUGGUAGCGGGGGAUAACUAUUGGAAACGAUAGCUAAUACCGCAUAAUAGUAGAUGUUGCAUGACAUUUACUUAAAAGGUGCAAUUGCAUCACUACCAGAUGGACCUGCGUUGUAUUAGCUAGUUGGUGGGGUAACGGCUCACCAAGGCGACGAUACAUAGCCGACCUGAGAGGGGGAUCGGCCAAACUGGGACUGAGACACGGCCCAGACUCCUAAGGGAGGCAGCCGUAGGGAAUCUUUGGCAAUAGACGAAAGUCUGACCGAGCAACGCCGCGUGAGGGAAGAAGGGUUUCGGAUCGUAAAGCUCGGUUGUAAGAGAAGAAAGAGUGUGAGAGUGGAAAGUUCACACUGUGACGGUAGCUUACCAGAAAGGGACGGCUAACUACGUG
rnacentral:rRNA from 1 species